UAUUACAGAAGGGGAGAGGACAAGGUGAUGGGGAAAUAGAAUCAGCAACUCGAGAUGACACCUUCAAAAAGUUGUAUGAUCACAGCGCUACAUUCAGUCAUCCAGUGACCUCAGCAACCUUUCAGUUGAAGAUUCUGCAUCACCAGAUAACAGAACAAACUCAAGAGCUAAUCGACAUGUAUUUCUAAAUUAAUUUAUUUAAGCUGCAAGGUUUUAUUCUACCUAUUUUUC
rnacentral:lncRNA from 1 species